rnacentral:rRNA from 1 species
UACGUAGGGUGCGAGCGUUGUCCGGAAUUACUGGGCGUAAAGCGUGCGCAGGCGGUCUGUUAAGACCGAUGUGAAAUCCCCGGGCUUAACCUGGGAACUGCAUUGGUGACUGGCAGGCUUUGAGUGUGGCAGAGGGAGGUAGAAUUCCACGUGUAGCAGUGAAAUGCGUAGAGAUGUGGAGGAAUACCGAUGGCGAAGGCGGCCUCCUGGGCCAACACUGACGCUCAUGCACGAAAGCGUGGGGAGCAAACAGG